ensembl:lncRNA
GGGUAGCCUAGUGGUUAGAGUGUAGAGGGGGCAGGGUAGCCUAGUGGUUAGAGUGUAGAGGUGGCAGGGUAGCCUAGUGGUUAGAGUGUAGAGGUGGCAGGGUAGCCUAGUGGUUAGAGUGUAGAGGGGGCAGGGUAGCCUAGUGGUUAGAGUGUAGAGGAGGCAGGUAGCCUAGUGGUUAGAGUGUAGAGGAGGCAGGUAGCCUAGUGGUUAGAGUGUAGAGGGGGCAGGGUAGCCUAGUGGUUAGAGUGUAGAGGCGGCAGGGUAGCCUAGUGGUUAGAGUGUAGAGGGGGCAGGUAGCCUAGUGGUUAGAGUGUAGGGACGGUAGGUAGCCUAGUGGUUAGAGUGUAGAGGGGGCAGGGUAGCCUAGUGGUUAGAGUGUAGAGGAGGCAGGUAGCCUAGUGGUUAGAGUGUAGAGGAGGCAGGUAGCCUAGUGGUUAGAGUGUAGAGGGGGCAGGGUAGCCUAGUGGUUAGAGUGUAGAGGAGGCAGGUAGCCUAGUGGUUAGAGUGUAGAGGGGGCAGGGUAGCCUAGUGGUUAGAGUGUAGGGGAGGCAGGUAGCCUAGUGGUUAGAGUGUAGGGGAGGCAGGUAGCCUAGUGGUUAGAGGAGGCAGGUAGCCUAGUGGUUAGAGUGUAGGGGAGGCAGGUAGCCUAGUGGUUAGAGUGUAGAGGGGGCAGGGUAGCCUAGUGGUUAGAGUGUAGAGGGGGCAGGGUAGCCUAGUGGUUAGAGUGUAGAGGAGGCAGGUAGCCUAGUGGUUAGAGUGUAGAGGAGGCAGGUAGCCUAGUGGUUAGAGUGUAGAGGGGGCAGGGUAGCCUAGUGGUUAGAGUGUAGAGGAGGCAG